rnacentral:rRNA from 1 species
CCCUUAGAUGUUCGGGGCCGCACGCGCGCUACACUGAUGCAUUCAACGAGCCUAUCCUUGACCGACAGGUCCGGGUAAUCUUUGAAUCUGCAUCGUGACGGGGAUAGAUUAUUGCAAUUAUUAAUCUUCAACGAGGAAUGCCUAGUAGGCGCAAGUCAUCAGCUUGCGUCGAUUACGUCCCUGCCCUUUGUACACACCGCCCGUCGCUCCUACCGAUUGGGUGUGCUGGUGAAAUGUUCGGAUCGGCCGUUUGUCGCGGUUUCCGCGUCAUGUGGCUGAGAAGUUCAUUAAACCCUCCCACCUAGAGGAAGGAGAAGUCGUAACA